UCUCUUUGUUUUCUCAAUGUUCUAAUUUUUAAAUAAACAUACUUCCCAGUAAUGUCCUCUUCUCUAUACGGUUGUUGUAAUCUUACAUCUCUUACUUUCAGGCCACAACAAAAUGUUUCAGGUCUUCUUAUUCUGCCCUACACAUCACAUAAUAAUCAUGAAAUUCAUCCAUAAGUACAGCAUUAGGUCUGCACUGAAAAAGAAUAGAAGAUAUGCAGAUUACAGAAUACUUAUCAUGCAUGAGUGAAACGCCAGCAAGCAAGGAAAGAAUAAUGUUACGAACGUGUACAUGCAGCAGCCCUACAGGCGAGCACAUGAGCAUGCUAUGUGUAUGAGGUAGCCUCAUGUGAGUAUAUAUGAGUGCAUGUGUGGGUGAUCUAGCUAGUGGGGUUGUGUGGUUCGUUGUCCAGGGACUGGUGCCGUUACCUGCAGCGCCAAAUGGAAGGAGAACUGACACAAGCCUAAGUUGACCUCUGAGGCCCUGGAGUCACGAGGGUGUCCGUGUGCGUGUGUGUUUGUAACAAUUAGCUAACCAUGGAAUAAUUAUUAUAUGGUACCGUUUAAUUGCAGUUCUGUGAGUGCGAGUGCAUGUAUAGUAUAAGUAACAAUUAUCCUUACCAGUAUUGAUAAUCUGUAUGCUAGAAUAGGUGUAGUUAAGUGUCGCCUGCUAGAGGUGGUGACAUGGGAGGCAGGCUUUAAGACACUCUGAUACAGAGAUCGAGAGAGGUUAUCGAGACCACGACGUGACAGGAAGUGCGAGUCGAGUUUGCGUGUGACUGACCGCGACGUGACAGGACGUGCGAGUCGAGUUUGCGUGUGACUGACGGUGCGCCCUGCCGUUAGAGCUGCGAGCAAUCGGGCCACUUUUUCUCGGAAGUGCCAGCACCCGAGAUCCGUACAGGUUGGCCACGAUCAGGAAAACAGCGCCCGGCUGGGGAGAGGGGCAAGUUACCAUCUACCAGUCACCUUCCCGACCCCACUCUUGCUGAGCGGCCGCCACCUUGACGCUCCCGCCGCCGUCCCAACCGUCCAGGUUAAUGGGCGACCGUGUCUCCUCACUGUGGGUACUGGAGCAGGAAGGACGUCGUCAGAAAGGACAUCAUUCUGGCGCGGGGCCUUCCUUUCGCCUCACAGAGGAUGUGUGAAGUGAUGGGCAGUGCUCAGCUGCAGGGGUCCAGUGGAGGCGCGUCUAGUGGUUGGCGGUAAGGACGUGCACCUACCAGUGUUAGUGGCUGACCUUGAGGACUCAUGCCUCCUGGGCCUUGACUAUACCUGACGAAGAUUCAGGCGUGUAUCGAUUUCUGGAAGGGAACCGUAAAGGUACCGGAUGCUGUGGCUCCCCUGCUCCCGAGUAACUACUGACCCGAGGUGGUCACAGGAGUUAUGUGAGUCAUGGGAAGGUGACAAGCAACACUGAGGGGUAGUGACUGGCACGGUCAGGACUACUUGCCUCAACACAACAGCCCAAGCUACACAUGGACAGCCACCCGCCCUCACCGUUCCUACCCACCAGCACUGGGCACUCGGCUCACCGGGACAUGCCUGCCUCCCUAAGGGGCCACCAGGUGUUCUGGUUACUUGUAUCAAAGCAUUUGUUAGGUGGGCAUUACUAAUGAGGAAAAGCAACAUUAAAUAAAAUUUGAUCAGUCUUAUUAAAAAAAAAUUGUAUGUAGCACAAAAGAUCAGUACUUUCUCUUGCCUAACACCUUUCUUGACACUCACAGACUAGCUCAGCAGGUCAGAUCAUCACACGUUGAUCCAGACUUUGAAAUUUACUGACUGUUGACUGACCAAGCAAAUGGCUAAUUAUUAGUUGAUGGAAGACAGUGUUUAUAAAUAUAAUGUGUAGAAAAGAUUUGAAACACAUAUCAUAUAUAUUUAUAUAUAUACACAAAUAUCUAAAUAUAUAGACAUACAUGUAGAUAUCUAUAAUAUAUAUACAAUAAACACACAAAUAUACAUACAUAUACAAGAUGGAAAUGAAGACACUGAAAAUCAAUAGAAACAAUACAACUGUUUAUAAAAAUGAGAUGAGGCUAUGAUGAUUAACAAACAUUUGUGGCAUGUAGCUUUGGGGUUGUGGUGACUAGUGGUGGCCUGGCUGCCCCUCUCCUCCAGGUCACGGCCUCUAGCGGGAGCACUUUUCACUUUGCUUGGUGUCCUUAAUGCUUAUAUCACACUUGCUAGAGUUCACAAGUCUGUCACCUGAUAAUGACUUGCUAGGUAUUUACACUUCCACUGGAAUGCACUAUCGUCACUUCAGUCACACGAGAUAUCCAACGCUUCAAAUCUUUUCUGAAUAAGAGAUCUCGACAAUCUUUGGAAAGAGAGGAAAACCAUUCUUCACAGCACAAUUCAUAGUAUCAAAUAACACAGUGUGUAAUCUGUUAAUAUUCUUUAAAAUAUCAACUAUUUUAAACAAUAUAGAUUAUGGAGGAUUAUGAAACACUGACAGCAAAAUAAUGGCAAUGGAUUAUGUCUUUGGCCACUAUGAAAACAAUGUAUGCAUGGGUAGCCUCUAUGUUAAGGGGUACUACCCGUAGUUUGAUCACUCGGUGCUAAACUCUUUAGGGUGUGACAAUACAACUUUUUAAACAACUUUCCUUUGCUAGUCCUGAAAUGGCUUUGUACCACGGAGUAAGAAAUGAGGCUCCUAAUGUCUACUACCAGUGUUCAGUCAGCUAACAUUG